UACGUAGGGGGCAAGCGUUGUCCGGAAUCAUUGGGCGUAAAGAGCGUGUAGGCGGCCCGAUAAGUCCGCUGUGAAAGUCCAGGGCUCAACCCUGGAAUGCCGGUGGAUACUGUCGGGCUCGAGUCCGGAAGAGGUGAGUGGAAUUCCUGGUGUAGCGGUGAAAUGCGCAGAUAUCAGGAGGAACACCGAUGGCGAAGGCAGGUCACUGGGCCGCAACUGACGCUGAGGAGCGAAAGCAUGGGGAGCGAACAGG
rnacentral:rRNA from 1 species